AUAAACUUAAUUUAAACACACACAUACACUAUGACUGCGUGUCGGGGUGUCCGCUUGCGGAUCGAUACAAAGGGUGUAUGGAGGCCUAAC
rnacentral:sRNA from 1 species